CGGGGUGUAGCGCAGUCCGGUUAGCGCACCUACUUUGGGAGCAGGGGGUCGUGGGUUCGAAUCCCGCUACCCCGACUA
rnacentral:tRNA from 2 species